ACAGACUAUACGCGUCGUGGUUCCUCAUCCGAUCAUUCGGUUGAGGCUAAGAGGGAAGCCGGUGCGUCGAGAGGCAAGGCCGGUGCUGCCCCCGCAACUGUAAGCGGCGAGCCGAAGUUCAUUCAUGUCACUGGAUGCGAAUCCGGGAAGGCGAAUGGAGGCUGUGACCCGUGAGCCAGGAGACCUGCCCCGGCUAUAUAUCGUCC
rnacentral:ncRNA from 2 species